GGGGCGGUAGUUCAGCGGCGAGAAUUCCGGUCUCCAAAACCGGCGACGCGGGUUCGAGUCCCGCCCGCCGCC
rnacentral:tRNA from 1 species